rnacentral:rRNA from 1 species
CCUACGGGAGGCAGCAGUAGGGAAUCUUGGACAAUGGGGGAAACCCUGAUCCAGCCAUGCCGCGUGAGUGAAGAAGGCCUUAGGGUCGUAAAGCUCUUUCGCCUGUGAUGAUAAUGACAGUAGCAGGUAAAGAAACCCCGGCUAACUCCGUGCCAGCAGCCGCGGUAAU